UACGAAGGGGGCUAGCGUUGCUCGGAAUCACUGGGCGUAAAGCGCACGUAGGCGGAUUGCUAAGUCAGGGGUGAAAUCCUGGAGCUCAACUCCAGAACUGCCUUUGAUACUGGCGAUCUCGAGUCCGGGAGAGGUGAGUGGAACUGCGAGUGUAGAGGUGAAAUUCGUAGAUAUUCGCAAGAACACCAGUGGCGAAGGCGGUUCUCUGGGCCUGACCUGACGCUGAGGAGCGAAAGCGUGGGGAGCGAACAGG
rnacentral:rRNA from 1 species